AGAGCAGACCAGGCGAUCGCCGGCACGCCCGUGCCGGAGGAAAGUCCGAACACCACAGGGCAGGGAGCUCCGUAACGCGGAGUCGCGGCGACGCGAAGGAAAGUGCAACAGAGAGCAGACCGCCUCGCCUCGCAUCCCCUUCCGGGAAGCGAUGGCGCGGUAAGGGUGAAACGGUGCGGUAAGAGCGCACCAGUUCCCCGGGUGACCGGGGAAGCUUGGCAAACCCCUCCCGGUGCAAGACCAAAUAGAGGAGCGUUCGAGGGCGGCCCGCCCAAGCUCCCGGGUAGGUCGCAAGAGGUGUCGGGCAACCGGCAUCCAUAGAUGAAUGAUCGCCGUCCGGCUUUCGGGCAACCGGGGCCGGGAACAGAAUUCGGCUUACGGGCUGCUCUGGCC
rnacentral:RNase_P_RNA from 1 species